rnacentral:rRNA from 1 species
AUGAACGCUGGCGGCGUGCCUAACACAUGCAAGUCGAACGGAGUCGUUUUGGAAAUCUCUUCGGAGAUGGAAUUCUCGACUUAGUGGCGGACGGGUGAGUAACGCGUGAGCAAUCUGCCUUUAAGAGGGGGAUAACAGUCGGAAACGGCUGCUAAUACCGCAUAAAGCAUUAAAUUCGCAUGUUUUUGAUGCCAAAGGAGCAAUCCGCUUUUAGAUGAGCUCGCGUCUGAUUAGCUAGUUGGCGGGGUAACGGCCCACCAAGGCGACGAUCAGUAGCCGGGCUGAGAGGGUGAACGGCCACAGUGGGACUGAGACACGGCCCAGACUCCUACGGGAGGCAGCAGUGGGGAAUAUUGCGAAAUGGGGGAACCCCUGACGCAGCAACGCCGCGUGAUUGAAGAAGGCCUGCGGGUUGUAAAGAUCUUUAAUCAGGGACGAAACAAAUGACGGUACCUGAAGAAUAAGCUCCGGCUAACUACGUG